rnacentral:rRNA from 1 species
UACGUAGGGUGCGAGCGUUGUCCGGAAUUAUUGGGCGUAAAGGGCCCGUAGGCGGUCUGUUGCGUCAGGAGUGAAAACUCGGGGCUUAACCCCGAGCCUGCUUCUGAUACGGGCAGACUAGAGGUAUGCAGGGGAGAACGGAAUUCCUGGUGUAGCGGUGAAAUGCGCAGAUAUCAGGAGGAACACCGGUGGCGAAGGCGGUUCUCUGGGCAUUACCUGACGCUGAGGAGCGAAAGUGUGGGGAGCGAACAGG